rnacentral:rRNA from 1 species
AUGGAGCAGAGAAGUUCUUUCCGCUCUGCAUUUCGCCCUUGUGUUACUAGCUGGCCCUUGUGUACACGCCAUUGGCCAACUCAUCAACCAGCCAAUGGUGCCACUGGAUCUGGUAUGGGCCGCACGCAGAGAUCAUCAGGCAGCAAUUUGAGAUGGUUGUUCCAUGGCUGGUACAGAACAGAUCACCAUCUUUCCUUAUUUGAUAUUCUCAUUUUACAUUUCUGCUUGUUUGCUGGUUUAUUUUAUUUUCAAAAAAUUCGAUGGUCCAUGGCUGGCACCUGGCAGGAUUGGGCUCAAUCAUGA